GCUAUUGUAGGGUAGGAGGGAGAGAGGUGUUACCUUAUGAGCUGCCACCUCUCCCAUCCUCUCCUCUGCAGCAGC
rnacentral:pre_miRNA from 1 species